GGUUCUCGUUAGAUCACCGAAGUCAAGCAUCAUUGGGCGCGGUCAGUACUUGUGUGGGUGACCACCUGGGAACACCGCGUGCCGUU